CACAAGCGGUGGAGUAUGUGGUUUAAUUCGAUGCAACGCGAAGAACCUUACCUGGCCUUGACAUCCCGGGAAUUUCCUGGAAACAGGAGAGUGCUUUCAUUAGAGAGAACCUGGAGACAGGUGCUGCAUGGCUGUCGUCAGCUCGUGUCGUGAGAUGUUGGGUUAAGUCCCGCAACGAGCGCAACCCUUGCCUUUAGUUGCCAGCAGUUCGGCUGGGCACUCUAAAGGGACUGCCGGUGUCAAACCGGAGGAAGGUGGGGAUGACGUCAAGUCCUCAUGGCCUUUAUGGCCAGGGCUACACACGUACUACAAUGGCCGGUACAAAGGGCAGCGACAUUGCGAGAUGGAGCGAAUCCCGAAAAGCCGGUCUCAGUUCGGAUUGCAGGCUGCAAUUCGCCUGCAUGAAGUCGGAAUCGCUAGUAAUCGCAGGUCAACAUACUGCGGUGAAUACGUUCCCGGGCCUU
rnacentral:rRNA from 1 species